CUCUGGGAGAGGAGCCCCAACACCGGGACUCCCAGGUCUGCCCACUUGCUGCUCAGGAGUGAACACAGACGACGCACCAUGGAGUCUGGGCUGAGCUGGCUUCUCCUCGUUGCUCUCUUCCAAGGUGUCCAGUGUGAGGUGCAGCUGGUGGAGUCUGGGGGAGGCUUGGUCCAGCCUGGGGGCUCCCUGAGACUCUCUUGUGCAGCCUCUGGAUUCACAUUCAGCAGCCACUGGAUGAGCUGGGUGCGCCAGGCCACAGGGAAAGGACUGCAGUGGGUUGGACAAAUUAAUCCUGGUGGUGAUGGCACAUAUUAUGCGGACUCCGUGAAGGGCCGAUUCACCAUCUCCAGAGACAAUGGCAAGAACACUAUGGAUCUGCAGAUGAACAGCCUGAGGCCCGAGGACACGGGGCUGUAUUACUGCGUGAGGGACACACCGAGGGGACUGCAUUUGGAGCCCAGACACGAACCUCCUGGGUGACGCGGCCGCCAGGGG